GCUUCUCCUUUCGCAGGGGCUGCGCUGAGGGCAUGGCUGUCUGUUCCUCCCCGGGGAUGUCAUUGACUGCACCUGCCUCAGGCUCGUGUGGGCGGUCUCUGCCUGGUCUGCCUCUCCUCACGGCGUGGGGGCGAAAAGGGACAGGCAGAGCACUUGCCGGCCACGGACAGGAGCUGCUGCAGCUGAAGCUGGAGAGGCCAGAGAAAGUUAAAGACGACGAAAUGGAAGGCCCUCCGGCCAGCAGCUGCCUCCCGCCGCGGGCAGGAGAGAGCCAGCCUCUCUGGGUGAGGAAGGAUCCCUCUUCGUAGUCCACAGGAGGUCAGACCGCCAACGUGCACCGCAGGGUCUGUGUGCUUCACCAACAGUGUGGUGGAGGACAGCCAAGCAGCCAGAGUUACAGAAAAGGAAGGGAGAAGAGGAGCAGAAAGAAGUGUCUGAACUGGCAAAUCCUCCUGGUACCACAGCGAGAGCUGUGCGCACAAGCGAGCGAGGCUACAUGUCUAGGAAGCUUCAUCUCGUUAGAGCUGUGGGACACCCACAUAUUCUUAGGUGGAGGACAGCCAAGCAGCCAGAGUUACAACAGAAGGAAGUGUCUGAACUGGCAAAGUCUCCUGGCAGUGCUGAGACCAAGAGCUGCAUGUCCUGCUCCUCAUUUUUGGCAGCCCUCACCUCUGCCCAGCAGCCCAUCGCUCCAGGAGCCGACAGACCGACUCUCUGUUCCCCGAUGGACCGACGAGCGUGGCUCAGGGACCGACUGCCGAGGUGGCCCAGGGGCAGGGGCAGCAUCGGGGUCCCCGAGCCCCAGAGCAGACUCGGUCCCAGGACUUGUUAGGAGUGUGACCGAAUAAACCCUCGCCGUCCCCUCUGCCCUCCCGGCUGCGUUUGCGCUCCCUUUGCACCGUGCGAGGGGCCGUGAGGGAGCCCGGGGGAGGAGGUGUGACGCGCCGGGGGGGUCGGGCGAUGCCCCCCCGGCCCCCCGUUCCUGCUGGGCUCCAGCUGCGGCCCGGGGCCGGGGGAGCCCCGGGUGCGGGCGGUGAGGCUGAUGGCGACGGGGCCGCGCCGUGUCGGAGCCGGGCGGAGGGGCCAGCCCGGAGACAGAGCCGGGGGCUCGGCGGGGAU